GACGAACGCUGGCGGCGUGCUUAACUCAUGCAAGUCGAACGGACAGACAGAGAGCUUGCUCUCUUGAAGUUAGUGGCGAACGGGUGAGUAACGCGUAAUCAACCUGCCCUUCAGAGGGGGAUAACAACGGGAAACCGUUGCUAAUACCGCGUACGAUUCAUGAACGGCAUCGUUUAUGAAUGAAAGGUGGCCUCUAUGUAUAAGCUAUCGCUGAAGGAGGGGAUUGCGUCUGAUUAGCUAGCUGGAGGGGUAACGGCCCACCAAGGCAAUGACCAGUAGCCGGUCUGAGAGGAUGAACGGCCACAUUGGGACUGAGACACGGCCCAAACUCCUACGGGAGGCAGCAGUGGGGAAUCUUCCGCAAUGGACGAAAGUCUGACGGAGCAACGCCGCGUGAGUGAUGAAGGUCUUCGGAUUGUAAAGCUCUGUUAAUCGGGACGAAAGAGUUCUGCGUGAAUAAUGCAGAAAAGUGACGGUACCGGAAUAGAAAGCCACGGCUAACUACGUGCCAGCCGCCGCAGUAA
rnacentral:rRNA from 1 species